rnacentral:rRNA from 1 species
AGAGUUUGAUCCUGGCUCAGGAUGAACGCUGGCGGUGCGCCUAACACAUGCAAGUCGAACGAAGGAUUGUGAAGGAACUUUACGGAGGGAAAACACAAUGACUGAGUGGCGGACGGGUGAGUAACGCGUAGGGAACCUGGCCCUUACAGGGGGAUAACAGAUGGAAACAACUGCUAAUACCGCAUAAGCGCCCAGCCUCGCAUGAGGCAGAGUGAAAAACUAAGGUAGUAAGGGAUGGCCCUGCGUCCGAUUAGCUAGUUGGUAUGGUAACGGCAUACCAAGGCGACGAUCGGUAGCCGGCCUGAGAGGGUGGACGGCCACAUUGGGACUGAGACACGGCCCAAACUCCUACGGGAGGCAGCAGUGGGGGAUAUUGCACAAUGGGGGAAACCCUGAUGCAGCGACACCGCGUGGGUGAAGAAGCGCUUCGGCGUGUAAAGCCCUAUCAGUGGGGAAGAAAAAGGACGGUACCCAAAGAAGAAGCACCGGCUAAAUACGUGCCAGCAGCCGCGGUAAUACGUAUGGUGCAAGCGUUAUCCGGAAUGACUGGGUGUAAAGGGAGCGUAGACGGUUGUACAAGUCUGAUGUGAAAGCCCACGGCUCAACUGUGGGAGUGCAUUGGAAACUGUAGAACUAGAGUAUCGGAGAGGCAAGUGGAAUUCCUAGUGUAGCGG